CUGGUUGAUCCUGCCGGAGGCUACUGCUAUUGGAAUCCGAUUAAGCCAUGCGAGUCUAAAGGACUUCGGUCCUUGGCGGACGGCUCAGUAACACGUGGAGAACCUGCCCUCAGGAGGGGGAUAACCCCGGGAAACUGGGAAUAAUACCCCAUAGGUCUAGGAUGCUGGAAUGCUUCUAGGCUGAAAGCUCCGGCGCCUGAGGAUGGCUCUGCGGCUUAUCAGGUUGUAGUGAGGGUAACGUCCUCACUAGCCUAUGACGGGUACGGGCCCUGAGAGGGGAAGCCCGGAGAUGGACUCUGAGACACGAGUCCAGGCCCUACGGGGCGCAGCAGGCGCGAAAACUCCGCAAUGCUCGAAAGAGUGACGGGGGGAUUCCAAGUGCCUACGCUCAGCGUAGGCUGUUCAGAUGCCUAAAAAGCAUCUGGAGUAAGGGCUGGGUAAGACGGGUGCCAUCUGCAGUGGUAGCGAAAGAUUUGGCUUGCUACUGCAAGGCAUAAGCCGCCGCGGUAAUACCCGCAGCUCGAGUAGUAGUCGAUUUUAUUGGGCCUAAAGCGUCCGUAUCCGGUCUGGUAAAUGCUUGGGUAAAUCGUCUGGCUUAACCAGACGAAUUCCGGGUAGACUACCAGACUUGGGACCGGUUGAGGAAGAGGGUACUUCAGGGGUAGGAGUGAAAUCCUGUAAUCCUUGAAGGACCACCAGUGGCGAAGGCGCUCUUCUAGGACGGGUCCGACGGUGAGGGACGAAAGCCAGGGGAGCAAACCGGAUUAGAUACCCGGGUAGUCCUGGCCGUAAACGAUGUGGGCUUGGCAUUGGGGGUUCUACGUGAGCGCCCAGUGUCGUAGCGAAGGCGUUAAGCCCACCGCCUGGGAAGUACGGCCGCAAGGCUGAAACCCUAGGAGGCCCUUAACUGAUAUAAUGAGGAAGGGUUCUCCUAGGGCAGCACACUUAAAGGAAUUGGCGGGGGAGCACCACAAGGGGUGGAGCCUGCGGUUCAAUUGGAGUCAACGCCGG
rnacentral:rRNA from 1 species